UACGUAGGGUGCAAGCGUUAAUCGGAAUUACUGGGCGUAAAGCGUGCGCAGGCGGUUCGCUAAGACCGAUGCGAAAUCCCCGGGCUUAACCUGGGAACUGCAUUGGUGACUGGCGGGCUAGAGUAUGGCAGAGGGGGGUAGAAUUCCACGUGUAGCAGUGAAAUGCGUAGAGAUGUGGAGGAAUACCGAUGGCGAAGGCAGCCCCCUGGGCCAAUACUGACGCUCAUGCACGAAAGCGUGGGGAGCAAACAGG
rnacentral:rRNA from 1 species